rnacentral:rRNA from 1 species
GUAGGUGGCAAGCGUUGUCCGGACUUAUUGGGCGUAAAGCGCGCGCAGGUGGUUCUUUAAGUCUGAUGUGAAAGCCCCCGGCUCAACCGGGGAGGGUCAUUGGAAACUGGGGAACUUGAGUGCAGGAGAGGAAAGUGGAAUUCCACGUGUAGCGGUGAAAUGCGUAGAUAUGUGGAGGAACACCAGUGGCGAAGGCGACUUUCUGGCCUGUAACUGACACUGAGGCGCGAAAGCGUGGGGAGCAAACAGGGAUUAGAUACCCUGGUAGUCCACGCCGUAAACGAUGAGUGCUAAGUGUUGGGGGGGUUUCCCGCCCCUCAGUGCUGCAGCUAACGCAUUAAGCACUCCGCCUGGGGAGUACGGUCGCAAGACUG